UACGAAGGGGCUAGCGUUGUUCGGAAUCACUGGGCGUAAAGCGCACGUAGGCGGAUUGCUAAGUCAGGGGUGAAAUCCUGGAGCUCAACUCCAGAACUGCCCUUUGAUACUGGCGAUCUUGAGUCCGGGAAGAGGGUGAGUGGGAACUGCGAAGUGUAGAGGUGAAAUUCGUAGAUAUCGCGAAGAACACCAGUGGCGAAGGCGGCUCACUGGCCCGGUACUGAACGCUGAGGUGGCGAAAGCGUGGGGAGCAAACAGG
rnacentral:rRNA from 1 species